GGCGACGGGUGAGUAAUGCUUAGGAAUCUGCCCAAUAGUGGGGGACAACUCGGGGAAACUCGAGCUAAUACCGCAUACGCCCUACGGGGGAAAGCAGGGGAUCUUCGGACCUUGCGCUAUUGGAUGAGCCUAAGUCGGAUUAGCUUGUUGGUGAGGUAAAGGCUCACCAAGGCGACGAUCCGUAGCUGGUCUGAGAGGACGAUCAGCCACACUGGGACUAAGACACGGCCCAG
rnacentral:rRNA from 1 species